UCGCUUCAGCAGCACAUAUACUAAAGUUGAAAUGAUACAGAGAAGAUGGGCAUGGCCCCUGCACAAAGACGACAUGCAAAUUCGUGAGGCGUUCUGUAUUUUU